GACGAACGCUGGCGGCGUGCUUAACACAUGCAAGUCGAACGGAAAGGCCCUGCUUUUGUGGGGUGCUCGAGUGGCGAACGGGUGAGUAACACGUGAGUAACCUGCCCUUGACUUUGGGAUAACUUCAGGAAACUGGGGCUAAUACCGGAUAGGAGCUCCUGCUGCAUGGUGGGGGUUGGAAAGUUUCGGCGGUUGGGGAUGGACUCGCGGCUUAUCAGCUUGUUGGUGGGGUAGUGGCUUACCAAGGCUUUGACGGGUAGCCGGCCUGAGAGGGUGACCGGCAAAAUGGGAACGGGGAACCGGCCAAGACCCCUAGGGGGGGAGAAGGGGGGGAAAUUGGCAAAGGGGGGGGAGGCCUGUGGCGGAACCCCGCGGUGGGGAAGGAGGGCUUUGGGGUGGAAACCCCUUUUCCCCGGGAAGAAGGGGGGGGGGAGGGAAAGGGGAAAGGAAGACCCGGCAAACUAGGG
rnacentral:rRNA from 1 species